GACGAACGCUGGCGGCGUGCUUAACACAUGCAAGUCGAACGAAGUGGCGAACGGGUGAGUAACGCGUAAUCCACCUGCCCUUCAGAGGGGGACAACAGUUGGCAAAGACUGCUAAUACAGCAUACUGAAGGAGGGGAUUGCGUCUGAUGAGCUAGUUGGAGGGGUAACGGCCCACCACGGCGAUGAUCAGUAGCAGGUCUGAUAGGAUGAACGGCCACAUUGGGACUGAGACACGGCCCAGACUCCUACGGGAGGCAGCAGUGGGGAAUCUUCCGCAAUUGACGAAAGUCUGACGGAGCAACGCCGCGUGAGUGAUGACGGCCUUCGGGUUGUAAAGCUCUGUUAAUCGGGACGUGGUACCGGAAUAGAAAGCCACGGCUAACUACGUGCCAGCAGCCGCGGUAAUUC
rnacentral:rRNA from 1 species